ensembl:lncRNA
UCAGAUGUAUGGUAAUUUGGUAAAAAAUCCGCUUAAAAAAAAAAAAAACCUUUCUCUCUCUCUCAAAAUGGCCAUAUUUGAGAAAAAAAUGUAGUAGUUUGAAUCACUGGAUAUAGCUGUCGAUCAUUUAAUAUUCAUAUUGUAAAAUGUUAAAAGUUAAUAUUAACUAAAAUUAAAUGAUUUGCGCGCAGCAGUCGCGCGCGCAUCUGUAGAAUAGCGCAAGUUAAUUCUCAAACUUUAAUAGUGUUUAUAGCUCCUAACAGGCUGUGUGACUAUGAGAAGUUAUUACCUCAAAAUCAGUAUGCAGUUUUCGCUAUUGCUCGCGUGCCGAGACAGGGGUAGCUGCAGUCUGGAGCAAUGGGCGUGCCGAGAGGUCUCUCAUUGGUGAAAGGAGUUUUACUGUUUUGGCCAAUCAGCGGUAAAUACACAUUUAUGUAAUUUCCUUUAGACAAGAGAAGGUAGCGGCGAUAAGACGUGGUGUAAUUAUUCAUCAUACGUUUAUCUAUACUUUAUAUACCACAAAUAUGAAUAUUAAGAUAGCUUGUUACAAUACGAUCAUAAUUUUUCCUUUGCGUUAUAUCUUGCAGCUUUAGUAAUUAUUUUAUUGAUGUUGACAGAAAUACUGUAUGUACAGCGAGACAAAACCAUGAGCGCAUCUGCAUCGAAGCUCUCAGAGCUGAUAGUUUGUAUCUGCGUCCUUUUUGUGCAAUACAGUACAGAAUACAUCCUGUAAGAAUAAUAAUUAUUACCACCUCUGCUAUUACAACUGAACUCAAUUCACAAUCUAUGAAGACGAUUAGACAAAAUCAAAAAAACUAAUUUAGAGUUUGUUUCUUUCUGCUGGGUGUCCAACUAAUGCAGAAUAUAUUCAAGUAUCCAACUCACUGAUUGUGAAGAACCCUUUCCAGAGAAAUAUAAAAGGAAAUGACUGAAACUUGUGUUGGGGAGGAUUCAGUGUCUGUUGAGGUCCAUGUGAAUGUGCUACAAAGUGAGUAUCAGAAAACACAUCCAGACACCUGGACUGUCAAAGACCACACGGCACGAACAUUCUCCUGGAGACGCUGAGAAAGCACGGAAGGAAUGUCUGUGGAGGAUGUACUCAAAAAACACCCAUACUUAAGAACACCUGCUGGAGAGGAGGGUUCAGUGUGGUGAAAGAAGAUGGAAUAGACGUGUGCCAGUGCACCAGCCUUGGUGAAGCCUUCAUAACAGCCUUCUGUAUCAUUGACUGGAAGUCUGUCAGUCCAGAUGUGAGGAAGACACACAGAGUGAGUUUGAGCUCAGCAGGUGUGAUGGCUGUGGAUGCAUCUACAAAAACACCACUGGAUACUGUAGCCAUGGAAAGAAGGGGGUCUUCACAGCUUUCUAUUCAGACAAAGAGUUUGCUGGAUUCUGUUCUAUGGACUGCUACUACAGAAUGAAUGAAUGA